rnacentral:rRNA from 1 species
UUAGCGGCGGACGGGUGAGUAACACGUGGGGUAACCUGCCUGUAAGACUGGGAUAACUCCGGGAAACCGGGGCUAAUACCGGAUGGUUGUUUGAACCGCAUGGUUCAAACAUAAAAGGUGGCUUCGGCUACCACUUACAGAUGGACCCGCGGCGCAUUAGCUAGUUGGUGAGGUAAUGGCUCACCAAGGCAACGAUGCGUAGCCGACCUGAGAGGGUGAUCGGCCACACUGGGACUGAGACACGGCCCAGACUCCUACGGGAGGCAGCAGUAGGGAAUCUUCCGCAAUGGACGAAAGUCUGACGGAGCAACGCCGCGUGAGUGAUGAAGGUUUUCGGAUCGUAAAGCUCUGUUGUUAGGGAAGAACAAGUACCGUUCGAAUAGGGCGGUACCUUGACGGUACCUAACCAGAAAGCCACGGCUAACUACGUGCCAGCAGCCGCGGUAAUACGUAGGUGGCAAGCGUUGUCCGGAAUUAUUGGGCGUAAAGGGCUCGCAGGCGGUUUCUUAAGUCUGAUGUGAAAGCCCCCGGCUCAACCGGGGAGGGUCAUUGGAAACUGGGGAACUUGAGUGCAGAAGAGGAGAGUGGAAUUCCACGUGUAGCGGUGAAAUGCGUAGAGAUGUGGAGGAACACCAGUGGCGAAGGCGACUCUCUGGUCUGUAACUGACGCUGAGGAGCGAAAGCGUGGGGAGCGAACAGGAUUAGAUACCCUGGUAGUCCACGCCGUAAACGAUGAGUGCUAAGUGUUAGGGGGUUUCCGCCCCUUAGUGCUGCAGCUAACGC